rnacentral:rRNA from 1 species
UACAGAGGUCCCAAGCGUUGUUCGGAUUCAUUGGGCGUAAAGGGUGCGUAGGCGGCGCGGUAAGUCGGGGGUGAAAUCUCGGAGCUUAACUCCGAAACUGCAUUCGAUACUGCCGUGCUUGAGGACUGGAGAGGAGACUGGAAUUUACGGUGUAGCGGUGAAAUGCGUAGAUAUCGUAAGGAAGACCAGUGGCGAAGGCGGGUCUCUGGACAGUUCCUGACGCUGAGGCACGAAGGCCAGGGGAGCAAACGGG